AAAUAGAUACCCCGGUAGUCCACGCCGUAAACUACUCGAGUAGCUAGACGUCGGGCGGCUGCCGGUUCGGUGUCGCAGCUAACGCAUUAAGCUCUCCGCCUGGGGAGUACGGCCGCAAGGUUAAAACUCAAAGGAAUUGACGGGGGCCCGCACAAGCGGUGGGGCAUGUGGUUUAAUUCGAAGCAACGCGCAGAACCUUACCACUCCCUUGACUUGGUACGUCGCGGGCCCGAGAGAUGGGUUCUUUCUAGUUCGGUCGUGGACGUCACACAGGUGCUGCAUGGCUGUCGUCAGCUCGUGUCGUG
rnacentral:rRNA from 1 species